rnacentral:rRNA from 1 species
AACGAACGCUGGCGGCAUGCCUAACACAUGCAAGUCGAACGAGACCUUCGGGUCUAGUGGCGCACGGGUGCGUAACGCGUGGGAACCUGCCCUUAGGUUCGGAAUAACUCCCCGAAAGGGGUGCUAAUACCGGAUAAUGUCUUCGGACCAAAGAUUUCGCCUUUGGAUGGGCCCGCGUUGGAUUAGCUAGUUGGUAGGGUAAAAGCCUACCAAGGCGACGAUCCAUAGCUGGUCUGAGAGGAUGAUCAGCCACACUGGGACUGAGACACGGCCCAGACUCCUACGGGAGGCAGCAGUGGGGAAUAUUGGACAAUGGGCGAAAGCCUGAUCCAGCAAUGCCGCGUGAGUGAUGAAGGCCUUAGGGUUGUAAAGCUCUUUUACCCGGGAUGAUAAUGACAGUACCGGGAGAAUAAGCUCCGGCUAACUCCGUG